AUGAAACAACAACGCACGUAUGCCAGAACUUCAUCAAUUCUGCAAUCAGACCUUCAAGCUCGUGAAAUCUUCAUCGUAUCUUCAAAACUUCUUCGCGCUACUGCAACAAAACAACAACAGCAUGCAUUCAUUAAUUCAGCCAUGAGAACAAUAAUUGCAAUGCAAAAGAAGAGGGAGAGACUCGCAGAAGAGGAACGAGAAGACUCGUUGGAAUGA